rnacentral:rRNA from 1 species
AGCUUCAGUAGCGUAUAUUAAAGUUGUUGCAGUUAAAAAGCUCGUAGUCGCAUUUCUGGCGAGAGGAUCCGGUCCGACCUUUUGGUGGGUUCUUGGGUCUCUUUCGCCAUCCUUGAGUGGUCCGUUCUGGCAUUAGGUUGUCGGAGCGUCAGCCGCUCAUCGUUUACUGUGAGAAAAUUAGAGUGUUCAAAGCAGGCUUAUGCCGUUGAAUAUAUUAGCAUGGAAUAAUAAGAUAGGACCUCGGUACUAUUUUGUUGGUUUGCGCACCAAGGUAAUGAUGAACAGGGACAGUUGGUGGUAUUUGUAUUUCGUUGUCAGAGGUGAAAGUCUUAGAUUUACGAAAGACAAACUACUGCGAAAGCAUUUACCAAGGAUGUUUUCA